rnacentral:rRNA from 1 species
AACGAACGCUGGCGGCAUGCCUAACACAUGCAAGUCGAACGAGACCUUCGGGUCUAGUGGCGCACGGGUGCGUAACGCGUGGGAACCUGCCUUUAGGUUCGGAAUAACUCAGAGAAAUUUGAGCUAAUACCGGAUGAUGUCUUCGGACCAAAGAUUUAUCGCCUUUAGAUGGGCCCGCGUUGGAUUAGCUAGUUGGUGGGGUAAAGGCCUACCAAGGCGACGAUCCAUAGCUGGUCUGAGAGGAUGAUCAGCCACACUGGGACUGAGACACGGCCCAGACUCCUACGGGAGGCAGCGGUGGGGAAUAUUGGACAAUGGGCGAAAGCCUGAUCCAGCAAUGCCGCGUGAGUGAUGAAGGCCUUAGGGUUGUAAAGCUCUUUUACCCGAGAUGAUAAUGACAGUAUCGGGAGAAUAAGCACCGGCUAACUCCGUG